rnacentral:misc_RNA from 1 species
GAUGAAGAACGUAGCGAAAUGCGAUAAGUAAUGUGAAUUGCAGAAUUCAGUGAAUCAUCGAAUCUUUGAACGCACAUUGCGCCCGCCAGUAUUCUGGCGGGCAUGCCUGUUCGAGCGUCAUUUCAACCAUCAAGCCCCAGGCUUGUGUUGGAGCCCUGCGGCUGCCGCAGCCUCCCAAAACCAGUGGCGGGCUCGCUAUCACACCGAGUGCAGUAGUUUACUCUUCGCUCAGGGCGUGUGGCGGGUGCUAGCCGUAAAACCCCCAACUUCGCAAGGUUGACCUCGGAUCAGGUAGGAAUACCCGCUGAACUUAAGCAUAUCAAUAAGCGGAGGA